GACUCCGUGGUGCAGUUACUAGCGCACCCGUUUAGAAACCGAGAAGUCGUAGGUUUAAAUCCUACCGGCGUAU
rnacentral:tRNA from 1 species